CUUAGAAGCAGCCAUCAUUUAAAGAAAGCGUAAUAGCUCACUGGUCGAGUCGGCCUGCGCGGAAGAUGUAACGGGGCUAAACCAUGCACCGAAGCUGCGGCAGCGACACUGUGUGUUGUUGGGUAGGGGAGCGUUCUGUAAGCCUGUGAAGGUGUGUCGUGAGGCAUGCUGGAGGUAUCAGAAGUGCGAAUGCUGACAUAAGUAACGAUAAAGCGGGUGAAAAGCCCGCUCGCCGGAAGACCAAGGGUUCCUGUCCAACGUUAAUCGGGGCAGGGUGAGUCGACCCCUAAGGCGAGGCCGAAAGGCGUAGUCGAUGGGAAACGGGUUAAUAUUCCCGUACUUGGUGUUACUGCGAAGGGGGGACGGAGAAGGCUAUGUUGGCCGGGCGACGGUUGUCCCGGUUUAAGCGUGUAGGUGUGUGUUCCAGGUAAAUCCGGUUCACUUUAACACUGAGGCGUGACGACGAGGCACUACGGUGCUGAAGCAACAAAUGCCCUGCUUCCAGGAAAAGCCUCUAAGCAUCAGGUAACAUCAAAUCGUACCCCAAACCGACACAGGUGGUCAGGUAGAGAAUACCAAGGCGCUUGAGAGAACUCGGGUGAAGGAACUAGGCAAAAUGGUGCCGUAACUUCGGGAGAAGGCACGCUGACACGUAGGUGAAGUGAUUUACUCAUGGAGCUGAAGUCAGUCGAAGAUACCAGCUGGCUGCAACUGUUUAUUAAAAACACAGCACUGUGCAAACACGAAAGUGGACGUAUACGGUGUGACGCCUGCCCGGUGCCGGAAGGUUAAUUGAUGGGGUCAGCGCAAGCGAAGCUCCUGAUCGAAGCCCCGGUAAACGGCGGCCGUAACUAUAACGGUCCUAAGGUAGCGAAAUUCCUUGUCGGGUAAGUUCCGACCUGCACGAAUGGCGUAAUGAUGGCCAGGCUGUCUCCACCCGAGACUCAGUGAAAUUGAACUCGCUGUGAAGAUGCAGUGUACCCGCGGCAAGACGGAAAGACCCCGUGAACCUUUACUAUAGCUUGACACUGAACAUUGAGCCUUGAUGUGUAGGAUAGGUGGGAGGCUUUGAAGUGUGGACGCCAGUCUGCAUGGAGCCGACCUUGAAAUACCACCCUUUAAUGUUUGAUGUUCUAACGUGGACCCGUUACCCGGGUUGCGGACAGUGUCUGGUGGGUAGUUUGACUGGGGCGGUCUCCUCCUAAAGAGUAACGGAGGAGCACGAAGGUUGGCUAAUCCUGGUCGGACAUCAGGAGGUUAGUGCAAUGGCAUAAGCCAGCUUGACUGCGAGCGUGACGGCGCGAGCAGGUGCGAAAGCAGGUCAUAGUGAUCCGGUGGUUCUGAAUGGAAGGGCCAUCGCUCAACGGAUAAAAGGUACUCCGGGGAUAACAGGCUGAUACCGCCCAAGAGUUCAUAUCGACGGCGGUGUUUGGCACCUCGAUGUCGGCUCAUCACAUCCUGGGGCUGAAGUAGGUCCCAAGGGUAUGGCUGUUCGCCAUUUAAAGUGGUACGCGAGCUGGGUUUAGAACGUCGUGAGACAGUUCGGUCCCUAUCUGCCGUGGGCGCUGGAGAACUGAGGGGGGCUGCUCCUAGUACGAGAGGACCGGAGUGGACGCAUCACUGGUGUUCGGGUUGUCAUGCCAAUGGCACUGCCCGGUAGCUAAAUGCGGAAGAGAUAAGUGCUGAAAGCAUCUAAGCACGAAACUUGCCCCGAG
rnacentral:rRNA from 1 species